UACGGAAUGUGCAAACGUUAUUCGGAAUCACUGGGCUUAAAGAGUCCGUAGGCGGCAUGUUAGGUGAGGUGUGAAAUCCCCCGGCUCAACCGAGGAAUUGCGCUUCAAACCGGCGUGCUAGAGGAAGAUAGAGGUGGGCGGAACUGAUGGUGGAGCGGUGGAAUGCAUAGAGAUCUAUCGGAACGCCAAAAGUGAAGACAGUCGACUGGGCCUUUCCUGACGCUGAGGCACGAAAGCGUGGGUAGCAAACCGG
rnacentral:rRNA from 1 species